rnacentral:misc_RNA from 1 species
GUCCUGCCCUGAUAGUAACUCCGCUGUGGACCACCAGCAAACGGUGUACCGCUACUUCUUGCCCCUCUGUUCAUGUUCUCGUUCAGUAAAGGCCCUCCAAAAAAUAUAGAUUGACCAGUGUAUGUAAGCUCUGUUCCAGAAACUUGUGAAGUAGAACCAGCACCCCUGUUAGCAUUAGCAGUAACAAAUCGCCCGGCUUCUUGAUCCCAGAAAACUGAUGACCUUGUACUCUCUGGAGUGCCCAUAUUACUCU